UACAGAGGUCUCAAGCGUUUGUUCGGAUUCAUUGGGCGUAAAGGGUGCGUAGGUGGCGCUGUAAGUCGGGUGUGAAAUUUCGGAGCUUAACUCCGAAACUGCAUUCGAUACUGCGGUGCUUGAGGACUGGAGAGGAGACUGGAAUUCAUGGUGUAGCAGUGAAAUGCGUAGAGAUCAUGAGGAAGACCGUGGCGAAGGCGGCCUGCUGGGCUGUGCUGACGUGGAGGCGCGACAGC
rnacentral:rRNA from 1 species